AUUGAACGCUGGCGGCAGGCCUAACACAUGCAAGUCGAACGGUAGCAGGAAGAAGAUUGCUUCUUUGCUGACGAGUGGAGGACGGGUGAGUAAUGUCUGGGAAACCGCCUGACGGAGGGAGAUAACUACUGGAAACGGUAGCCAAAACCGCAUAACGUCGCAAGACCACAGAGGGGGACCUUCGGGACUCUUGCCAUCAGAUAUGCCCAGAUGGGAUUAGCUAGUAGGUGGGGUAACGGCUCACCUAGGAGACGGUCCCUAGCUGGUCUGAGAGGAUGACCAGCCACACUGGAACUGAGACACGGUCCAGAAUCCUACGGGAGGCAGCAGUGGGGAAUAUUGCACAAUGGGCGCAAGCCUGAUGCAGCCAUGCCGCGUGUGUGAAGAAGGCCUUCGGGUUGUAAAGCACUUUCAGCGGGGAGGAAGGGGGAAUGGUUAAUAACCAUUGUCAUUGACGUUACCCGCAGAAGAAGCACCGGCUAACUCCGUGCCAGCAGCCGCAGUAA
rnacentral:rRNA from 1 species